UUGACAAGUGAAGUAAAAGCAACCUGUACAAGUUCAGCAAGUGAUGUUCCAAAAUGGAUUUUUGAUUACUCUCUUCCAACAUCUUGCGAAAAAAUAGUGUGUCCACACCCUGGAACUCUGGUUGUUUCUGAUGGUAUUGCUACUUUAGUCUCUAAUGAUACAACAGUGUACUAUAGAGAUCAUGUUAGUUGGAAAUGCUCAGACAGGAGAUUCUAUCUCAAAAAACA